AUGCACCGGAUCCCAUCAGAACUCCGAAGUUAAGCGAGUUUGGGCGAGAGUAGUACUAGGAUGGGUGACCUCCUGGGAAGUCCUCGUGUUGCAUCCC
rnacentral:rRNA from 1 species